rnacentral:pre_miRNA from 1 species
UAGCCUCUCCUAGGCUUUGUCUUGUGAACGACGGAAUUUUUAUAUUUUCGUCGGGAAAAACUGAAAUUCUAGACAACGUCUCGGAGAGCGCUUCG